rnacentral:rRNA from 1 species
AUGCAGUCGAACGGUGAUAGCAAUAUCAUAGUGGCGCACGGGUGCGUAACACGUAUGCAACCUACCUUAUACUGAGGGAUAGCCUUUCGAAAGGGAGAUUAAUACCUCAUAACACAUUGAACUGGCAUCAGUUUAUUGUUAAAGAUUUAUUGGUAUAAGAUGGGCAUGCGUCCAAUUAGUUAGUUGGCGAGGUAACGGCUCACCAAGACGAUGAUUGGUAGGGGAACUGAGAGGUUAAUCCCCCACACUGGCACUGAGAUACGGGCCAGACUCCUACGGGAGGCAGCAGUAGGGAAUAUUGGGCAAUGGAGGCAACUCUGACCCAGCCAUGCCGCGUGCAGGAAGAAGGCGUUAUGCGUUGUAAACUGCUUUUAUAUAGGAAGAAAUAGACCUUGCGAGGUAAGUUGACGGUGCUAUAUGAAUAAGCACCGGCUAACUCCGUGCCAGCAGCCGCGGUAAUACGGAGGGUGCAAGCGUUGUCCGGAUUUAUUGGGUUUAAAGGGUGCGUAGGCGGUUUAUUAAGUCAGUGGUGAAAGACGGUCGCUCAACGAUUGCAGUGCCAUUGAUACUGGUAGACUUGAGUGGGAUUGAG